UUUUUCUUCUUUUUUUUUUUUCUGGCAAAUGGAAGAGCAAGAGGAGGUGCAGAUUUCAGCUAGUGAAAAAUACAAGAUGAAGUAAAGAGAAGAAGAAAAGAAGGAGGAGAGGGAAAAGGCAAGAGAGAAAGACUUCUCCCCCAUCUCCCUCUUCCUCACCCUCAUCCCCUUCUCUGCCAAUGACUUUUACCUCAGAAACAGCGGCGGGACCAACUUCAAAAGGCGGUCAGGAGGGAACUGGAGUGUGAAAUCUGAGAGCAACAGCAAGAUGAGAGGCUGACCGGCGCUCUGUUUGCUGUUCUGAGCAGGAGCUGCCAGGACUGCAGGCUAGAAGCUCCCGAUGACACCUGGCAUUCAUCUGUAAGUGCUGACACCGCGUACGCUUAGAGAUCAUGGAAGACUGCUGCUGAAGUCUUGAAGGCCCAUGAUGUGAUAUGCAGCAG